rnacentral:rRNA from 1 species
AUUGAACGCUGGCGGCAUGCCUUAUACAUGCAAGUCGAACGGCAGCACGGGAGCAAUCCUGGUGGCGAGUGGCGAACGGGUGAGUAAUAUAUCGGAACGUGCCCAGUAGUGGGGGAUAACUGCUCGAAAGAGCAGCUAAUACCGCAUACGACCUGAGGGUGAAAGGGGGGGAUCGCAAGACCUCUCGCUAUUGGAGCGGCCGAUAUCAGAUUAGCUAGUUGGUGGGGUAAAGGCCUACCAAGGCAACGAUCUGUAGUUGGUCUGAGAGGACGACCAGGCACACUGGGACUGGGACACGGCCCAGACUCCUACGGGAGGCAGCAGUGGGGAAUUUUGGACAAUGGGCGCAAGCCUGAUCCAGCAAUGCCGCGUGCAGGAAGAAGGCCUUCGGGUUGUAAACUGCUUUUGUCAGGGAAGAAAUCCUCUAGGUUAAUACCCUUGGGGGGAUGACGGUACCUGAAGAAUAAGCACCGGCUAACUACGUGCCAACCGCCGCCGUAAGAC